UACAGAGGGGGCAAGCGUUGUUCGGAAUUACUGGGCGUAAAGGGCGCGUAGGCGGCCCGCUAAGUCGAACGUGAAAUCCCCGAGCUCAACUCGGGAACUGCGUCCGAUACUGGUGGGCUUGAAUCCGGGAGAGGGAUGCGGAAUUCCAGGUGUAGCGGUGAAAUGCGUAGAUAUCUGGAGGAACACCGGUGGCGAAGGCAAUCCCCUGGGCCUGCACUGACGCUCAUGCACGAAAGCGUGGGGAGCAAACAGG
rnacentral:rRNA from 1 species